CUGUGUCGUCCUCAAGCAGAGAGUAGGCAGCCUGUUCCACAUACCACCGGCAAUUCGAGGAGGCGAAGCGGGCGGCGGGAGCUGUUGCGGCGGCCGGGACGGGGAGUAUAUCACGACUUCGCCGGCGACCUGUAUCAACGAAAUGGACUUCCCCUUGGAUCUAGGGAGCAGGCAGGUGUGUGCGAGUCUUCUUCCCCGGGCAUGGCGCUAGCAGCUACAAAAUCAGCUCCCGUGAUUUGACCGGUAGGCCAUGUCUCCUCCAUUUUCUGUGCUGAUAUCUAGGCUCGGUGGAGUAGGAUCAAUCUGUGAUUGGCAAUUUGGCAUCGUCCAAGCUGCGGCCAGGGGUGGUGAGCAGGAAGCUGACUCCGCACUCUCGACAGGGAAAAUGGAUCCGAAGUUCCGAGCUCUCCGGGGUGGACAAAAAGGUACAGAUUGUGAGAUGUAAUUCAUAGGCAUGUUGCGUUGGGUGGUGGCAGGAAAAAAAUCUUAUCGAAAAGAUCUCGUCAGUGGCAGAUGCAGGGAGUUCGACCAGUUUUCAUUAAGAACAAGGUAUGUCGGAUGCCGGCAGCAACGCAUGAUCCAGAGGCAGCAGGCAUGUCGCUCAGCCAGAGCUCCCACAGGACGAUGCAAGCGGAGGCAGCAAUGGUCAGUCAACUGAGCACUUCACGUCCCCUAUUUCUGUCAAGCAUGUGGUUGAGGUACUAAAGGGGAUCACCGGGUUCAAGAGAUGGCAUGUCAGCGAAAUUGGAUUCAGUGGGAUUCUGAAGUUGCCGGUGCUGCAGAAGUUGAGUCUGAAAUUUAGUGCAUGGACCAUGAAUAAGGCUUAUGUUCAGCGCUGUGUCAUAUGCAUCAAUGAAAAUAAUAUUCUCCGGUUCUGGGCCACAGAUAUACACAAGGUUUUCAUUGCACCAUGUGGCAACCGUGAUGUGAAGGCCAAUAUUACUGAAGAUCAAUCGAUUUUAUCAAGAGCUCGCUCGGCAUGGACAAAGCAGGGGCUCACAGCCUACGUGCAGCCGAAAAAUUUAUAAAGAUGGAUAUCAGAGUAGUUUCAAGCAAGCUGUACAAGGAUUGUUUUCAGACUGCAUUUGUCAUUUUUGUGAUGGGUCAGUUGCUAGCACCCUAGUUGCUAGCACCCUCGAUGAAGUAUUACUACUAUCAAAUUGAUUUUUGGGGAACACAGAGAACAUUGGACAAUUCAAUUGGUGUGCAUAUGUGUUACAGUGCCUGCUUCAUGCCGUCGCAAAACUGAAGAAAGAUAUGUCCAAGAGGAAUGGCACCAUCAAGUUGUUCGGGUGUCAUUUUUUUCUGCAGAUUUUUCUAUUGGAUAAUCUCAGCCUUGGGCUGUUCACGACUAAAGAUGAUGUGCUGCCACGGGUUUG